rnacentral:rRNA from 1 species
UACGAAGGGGGCAAGCGUUGUUCGGAAUUAUUGGGCGUAAAGGGAGCGUAGGCGGUUCGGCAAGUCUUUAGUGAAAUCUCUGGGCUCAACUCAGAGUCUGCUGGAGAAACUGCCGGGCUGGAGUAUGGGAGAGGUGAGUGGAAUUCCUGGUGUAGCGGUGAAAUGCGUAGAUAUCAGGAGGAACACCUGUGGCGAAAGCGGCUCACUGGACCAUAACUGACGCUGAUGCACGAAAGCUAGGGGAGCAAACAGG